rnacentral:sRNA from 1 species
ACACAGGCUCUCCCCCUGACACGUUUCCAGGCAGUGGUGGCUUUAGCUGUGGGACGUCUGGCAGACAAGUCAGUGCUAGUAUGUAAAAAUGCCAUCCAGCUGCUGGCCAGUUUUCUAGCCAAUAAUCCUUUUUCCUGCAAGCUUAGUGAUACUGACCUUGCUGGACCACUGCAGAAGGAGACCCAGAAAUUACAAGAGAUGAGGGCCCAGAGGCGAACUGCAGCAGCUUCUGCAGUGCUGGACCCAGAGGAGGAGUGGGAAGCCAUGCUGCCAGAGUUGAAGUCUACCCUGCAGCAGCUUCUACAGCUUCCCCAGGGAGAGGAGGAGAUUGCUGAGCCAAUUGCCAAUACAGAGACGACUAAAGAUGUGAAAGGACGCAUCUAUCAACUGCUUGCCAAAGCUAGUUACAAGUAGGCAAAAGAAUGGGAUAUUCUUCAUGAUCUGUUUAUGUUUAGAGUUAACCUUUGAGAAACUUACAUAAUGUGUCUUUUAAAUGAACUGCACUCAGAUAUGCUGCCACCAGGUGAUGGUAGAUGUUUUCAUGUAGUAAUGGUCUGACCAUAGGCCUAGUCCACAAUUAAGCAUGUGUUUCUACUUUAUAAAUGUUUAAAGAAACUACUGAAACAAUUAAAUGUUAACAAUAUUAUAAUCAAA